rnacentral:misc_RNA from 1 species
UCCGAUAACGAAUGAGAAUAAACACUAUUUCUUCAGGUUACGCUUCCCACUGCUUUCAAGCCUGGUAGCUCCUCCGGUAGUUCUUCUAGUCACCUAGCUUUGAAGAAGGUGAAGGUUAAAGCAGCAGAGAAGGAGAAGGCUGAGAAGGAGAAGAAGGACAGGAUGUGGAAGGAGCUUCUUGAGCAGAAGAGGAGAGAGAGGAGAGAGAGGAAGGUGGGGAAGCAGAUGGAGAAGCAGAUGGAGAAGCAGCUGGAGGAAGAACAGGUUACGCCUCCCACUGCUUUGAAGCCUGGUAGUUCCUCCGGUAGUUCUUCUGGUCACCCAGCUCCUAUAGGCAUGACAGAAAAAGAUGCUUUGGAGACCUGUAGUUCUCCUGCUCACCCAGCUCCCAGAGGCAUGACAGAAAAGGAUGCUUUGGAGACCUGUAGUUCUCCUGCACACCCAGCUCCCAGAGGCAUGACAGAAAAGGUUGGUCAAUGAUACUCUUUAUGUGAAUUAUUUUCAUGUGAAUAAACACUAUUUCUUCAGAAUGGUCCUGGUCUCAGGACUCGUCUCCUCCUUAAGCCAUCCUAUGUGUCAGGGAGAGGAAAGACUAAGGCCCCAGCCAGUCGUUGGGUUCCAACCCUCCUGCAUACCCCUGACUUGACGACCCCACUGCCUCCUGCAAGAGAAACUCCUGUGAAUAAGGGAGCUUUUGC